rnacentral:rRNA from 1 species
AUACUCACUUUCAUCUUACAAAACACUAUUAAUCAAAACAGUAUAAAACUAAACCAAUCUCAAAUAAAAAAUUAUACAGUACUAUAAAGGAAAUAAAAUUUUUAACUUAAAGUAGUGACACUUCACGUACCUUGUGCAUUAUGGUUUUACAAGCUAAUAAUUUAAAAUAUAUUCCCGAAUUCUACGCGAGCUGUUCAUUUAUAGCUAUAGAGCCCACUACUAGUUGUAGCACCAACUUUAGAAAAUAUUUGAACAGAGGCUACAUACCACGCGCGCUAGAACAUUGCUGGUUUUCAGUUAAAUUUAUAAAUUAAUACAUAUAAUUAUAUUAUAGUGUAAGAUCUCAGAGGAUAAGCCCUGUGAUCCUAAGCUAAUAACCAUACAUAAACCCCCAUAGGCUUAAAACCAGCCAUUAAUAGUACUUUACCGUACAAUAUUUCCAAUAAACAGAAUCCUGUGCCCCCUAAAGCUGAAAUUUAAGACAAACCUAAGAUCUUAAAAUAUUAUGUAAAAAUAAGUAUUAGAAAAAAUAAACCUUAAGCUUCCACGAAUUCUCAAUAUUAUAUACACAUUAACACUUAUAAAGGAACUCGGCAAAUAUUAUUUCGACUGUUUAACAAAAACAUUGCUUCUUGCGUUCUCCCAUAAGAAGUAAUUCCUGCCCAGUGAACUCAUUUCAACGGCCGCGGUAUCCUAACCGUGCAAAGGUAGCAUAAUCACUUGCCCAUUAAUUGUGGGCUAGAAUGAAAGGACCAACGAAAUAAAAACUGUCUCUAUAAGUAACAUAAAAAUUAAUCUCUAACUGAAGAUUGUUAGAUAGCAUCGAAGGACAAGAAGACCCUAUAGAGCUUUAUUUUUACAAAUAACUAAAAUUUAUAUAAAAUUCGGUUGGGGCGACCGGGGAAAUUGGCUAUCAUCCCCUAAUAACAGAUAAAUAAAUCACAUACUUGACCCUUUCUAAAGAUCAUUAAAACAAGCUACCUUAGGGAUAACAGGCUAAUCCCGCUAAAGAGUCCUUAUCAAUAGCAGGGUUUGGCACCUCGAUGUUGGCUUAGGGAAUCUAUAUGGCGCAAAAGUCAUAUAAAGAUGGUUUGUUCAACCAAUAAUACCCUACAUGAGCUGAGUUCAGACCGGCGUAAGCCAGGUUAGUUUCUAUCCUCGAUUAAAAUAUCUAUUUAUAGUACGAAAGGACCUAAAUAUGAAUAAUAAUUAUAUCUCAAGAAUAAAUAUAAAAUUUAUGCCAAAUAAAUAUAUACCUAUACUAGGUAAU